CUCCUACGGGAGGCAGCAGUGGGGAAUAUUGGACAAUGGGCGAAAGCCUGAUCCAGCAAUGCCGCGUGAGUGAUGAAGGCCUUAGGGUUGUAAAGCUCUUUUACCCGGGAUGAUAAUGACAGUACCGGGAGAAUAAGCUCCGGCU
rnacentral:rRNA from 1 species